GAUGAACGCUGGCGGCGUGCCUAAUACAUGCAAGUCGAGCGAACAGAUAAGGAGCUUGCUCCUUUGACGUUAGCGGCGGACGGGUGAGUAACACGUGGGGAACCUACCUAUAAGACUGGGAUAACUUCGGGAAACCGGAGCUAAUACCGGAUAACAUUUGUAACCGCAUGGUUCUAAAGUGAAAGAUGGAUUUGCUUUCCCUUAUAGAUGGCCCGCCGCGUAUUAGCCAGUUGGGAAGGUAAAGGCUAACCAAGGCGACCAUACGUAGCCGACCUGAGAGGGUGAUCGGCCACACUGGAACUGAGACACGGUCCAGACUCCUACGGGAGGAAGCAGUAGGGAAUCUUCCGCAAUGGGCGAAAGCCUGACGGAGCAACGCCGCGUGAGUGAGGAAGGGUUUCGGCUCGUAAAACUCUGUUAUUAGGGAAGAACAAAUGUGUAAGUAACUGUGCACGUCUUGACGGUACCUAAUCAGAAAGCCACGGCUAACUACGUG
rnacentral:rRNA from 1 species